UACGUAGGUGGCAAGCGUUGUCCGGAUUUAUUGGGCGUAAAGGGAGCGCAGGCGGUUAAAUAAGUCUGGGAUGUGAAAGCCCUCAGCUCAACUGAGGAAUUGCAACGGAAACUGUUUAACUUGAGUGCAGAAGAGGAGAGUGGAACUCCAUGUGUAGCGGUGAAAUGCGUAGAUAUAUGGAAGAACACCAGUGGCGAAGGCGGCUCUCUGGUCUGUCACUGACGCUGAGGCUCGAAAGCAUGGGUAGCGAACAGG
rnacentral:rRNA from 1 species